rnacentral:lncRNA from 1 species
AAACUGAGAAGAAUAAUACUACUGCACAGAGGUGCUGUUGGAUAUUUGAAGGAGUUGUGGAAAAUGGAAAGUUCUAUAUAGUUGUAAGCUAUCAAGAUGAUGAUAGUUAGAAAACGUGAAUGGACACAUUCUCCCAAGAAGAGCUCUCCCUGUGGAGAUGAGCUACGGAAACUGGAAGAGCUCAACAUUAAAGAGCUAGAACAUAUGGGAAGCCCAGAGGUUAACUUCUCUGUGGAUGAUGAAGUAGCUGGACUAAUCUACUUUCCAAAAGUUAAGAAGUGAUCACAGAGAUUCUUCCAGAGAUGAGAAAAUGGGACCACUCUCUGAAUCAAUACUGAGAUGUGAUGUGUCAUGAAUGCAGCAGAGACUCACUGUGUCACUGAGGCCAGAGUGCAGUGGCGGAAUCUAGACUUACCACAACCUCCACCUCCCAAGUUCAAG